GGGGAUGUAGCUCAGUUGGUAGAGUGCUUGCCUUGCAUGCACAAGGCCUUGGGUUCAAUCCCAGCACCAUUU
rnacentral:tRNA from 1 species